GUACAAACACAAAAGACACGCCGAGGGGCCCGCCGAGGGGCCGUCUGCCCUAGUCCGUCCCCGGCCCACACUCCCUCCCCGUCGGACGCAGGCGUUAAGGUCUCACUAUGAAGCUCACACUGGCUUUGGACUCAUGAUCCUCUGCCUCACUCUGGCAUAGGCCAUGACAACCCAGCUCUGGUAAGCCUUUUGAAUCUCAUAACCUAUAGAUUCUCCCUGUGUUCAUGCU
ensembl:antisense H3f3aos H3 histone, family 3A, opposite strand